AAAAACCCACUUUUCUUUGUGUUUUGAACAAAAUAUAUUUCUGUAAAUGAAACAGAAACACUUUUAAAAUUGAGAAGAGAUGAAAUUGAUUUGUGCAGAAGGAGUGAUAAGUGGAGGUCGACUGGAUGCAAACGUCUUCAUGAGGGCAUUUCGACAGAAAAAUAAUCGUUGCAGGUUGCAGAGGCCUUCGAGGGUUCCGCCUUUUAAAAUAAGGCGGGUAACGCACCUGAACGCACCUUUGUGCGCGAGAUGAUGUGGGUUUACGCACAAACACAUACAAGGGUAAAAUCCACCCAAAUCAGAGUGAAGGUCAAACACGUUCACGCGCACUUUCUUCUCCUUUGGUGUGUUUUUAUUUUUUAAUCCUGAAGUUCAGGCAGUCAGAGGGCCGGAGAGCCCCACAUACCACCACCUCCUGCUCACGGGCUCCGUUAAAUUAUGCAAAAAGGCCAUUCAACAAAUAUGGCCUCGCAGCACAAAAGAAGCGCGCUAUUCUGACAUUUCCAAGCAUUUCUUGUUUUUUACCCCGUCCUUCUCUCGAUGUGAGACCUCCAGAUAAACCCCUGAACAAGUAUCAAGUUAUCAAGUUGCACCAAGCUUUUGUAAUAAGAGCAUUUUGUCUAAUCCAAAAUUGCUGUUGAAUUUUCCUUAAUGCUGAGCUGCUAAAGCCUGGGAUUAGGCGGCGAGGAGAGGAGGGGGAAAAGUUUUGUCCCUUCAGCCGGCAGGAUUGGAAGCGCGGAGAUCUGCGGGGAUGUUGUCGGCGCUUAUUAAAGGCAUGAUGCAGAAACCUCAGAGCUGCUGGAGCCUCCGCGCGCUCAGAGCUUCGCUCCUCAGGUGCGCAGCGCUCUGGACGGCGGCCGACUGGGAGAGAGGCCGAGCAGCACCUGUGAGGGGAGGCCAUGAGACAUCAAAGCCCGGGAGAUAAUCCAUUCCUCUGGGGGAGCCGAACCGGACGGGACCGAACCUCCGCUUUUUACGCACGCAACGCUCACCGAAAAAAAGGAUUUCUGAUAUUUUAUUUGUAAUAUUUUUUCUGCUUCAUCUGGAACAUUACUGAUGCUGCAGAGGAAGCAUUUGGAGGCUGUUAGUGAGGAGAAGGGAUGGACAUGUACAGCAAGGU